AGACGUCUACAUUAGAUACCCGGGUAGUCCCAGCCGUAAACUAUGCGCGUUAGGUGUAUCGGUGACCACGAGUUACCGAGGUGCCGAAGGGAAACCGUGAAACGUGCCGCCUGGGAAGUACGGUCGCAAGGCUGAAACUUAAAGGAAUUGGCGGGGGAGCACCACAACAGGUGGAGCCUGCGGUUUAAUUGGACUCAACGCCGGACAACUCACCGGGGACGACAGCAAUAUGUAGGCCAGGCUGAAGACCUUGCCUGAAUCGCUG
rnacentral:rRNA from 1 species